rnacentral:rRNA from 1 species
AGAGUUUGAUCAUGGCUCAGAGUGAACGCUGGCGGCAUGCCUAACACAUGCAAGUCGAACGGUAACAGGCCCGCAAGGGUGCUGACGAGUGGCGGACGGGUGAGGAAUACAUCGGAAUCUGCCCGGUUGUGGGGGAUAACGUAGGGAAACUUACGCUAAUACCGCAUACGACCGAAAGGUGAAAGCGUGGGAUCCGCAAGGACCUCGCGCAGCCGGAUGAGCCGAUGUCGGAUUAGCUAGUUGGCGGGGUAAAGGCCCACCAAGGCGACGAUCCGUAGCUGGUCUGAGAGGAUGAUCAGCCACACUGGGACUGAGACACGGCCCAGACUCCUACGGGAGGCAGCAGUGGGGAAUAUUGGACAAUGGGGGCAACCCUGAUCCAGCAAUGCCGCGUGUGUGAAGAAGGCCUUCGGGUUGUAAAGCACUUUUAUCCGGAACGAAACGCGCAGGGCGAAUAGCUUUGCGAACUGACGGUACCGGAGGAAUAAGCACCGGCUAACUUCGUGCCAGCAGCCGCGGUAAUACGAAGGGUGCAAGCGUUACUCGGAAUUACUGGGCGUAAAGCGUGCGUAGGUGGUUUGUUAAGUCUGUUGUGAAAGCCCCGGGCUCAACCUGGGAAUGGCAAUGGAUACUGGCAAGCUAGAGUGCGGUAGAGGGUAGUGGAAUUCCCGGUGUAGCGGUGAAAUGCGUAGAGAUCGGGAGGAACACCAGUGGCGAAGGCGGCUACCUGGACCAGCACUGACACUGAGGCACGAAAGCGUGGGGAGCAAACAGGAUUAGAUACCCUAGUAGUCC